rnacentral:rRNA from 1 species
AUUGAACGCUGGCGGCAUGCCUUACACAUGCAAGUCCAACGGUAACAGGUCUUCGGAUGCUGACGAGUGGCGAACGGGUGAGUAAUACAUCGGAACGUGCCUAGUAGUGGGGGAUAACUACGCGAAAGAGUGGCUAAUACCGCAUGAGAUCUACGGAUGAAAGCAGGGGAUCGCAAGACCUUGUGCUACUAGAGCGGCCGAUGGCAGAUUAGGUAGUUGGUGGGAUAAAAGCUUACCAAGCCGACGAUCUGUAGCUGGUCUGAGAGGACGAUCAGCCACACUGGGACUGAGACACGGCCCAGACUCCUACGGGAGGCAGCAGUGGGGAAUUUUGGACAAUGGGCGCAAGCCUGAUCCAGCAAUGCCGCGUGCAGGAUGAAGGCCUUCGGGUUGUAAACUGCUUUUGUACGGAACGAAAAGCCCUGGAUUAAUACCCUGGGGUCAUGACGGUACCGUAAGAAUAAGCACCGGCUAACUACGUGCCAGCAGCCGCCGUAAGAC